rnacentral:rRNA from 1 species
GAUGAACGCUGGCGGCGUGCUUAACACAUGCAAGUCGAACGAUGAAGCCCAGCUUGCUGGGUGGAUUAGUGGCGAACGGGUGAGUAACACGUUAGUAACCUGCCCUUAACUCUGGGAUAAGCCUGGGAAACUGGGUCUAAUACCGGAUAGGAGCGUCCACCGCAUGGUGGGUGUUGGAAAGAUUUAUCGGUUUUGGAUGGACUCGCGGCCUAUCAGCUUGUUGGUGAGGUAAUGGCUCACCAAGGCGACGACGGGUAGCCGGCCUGAGAGGGUGACCGGCCACACUGGGACUGAGACACGGCCCAGACUCCUACGGGAGGCAGCAGUGGGGAAUAUUGCACAAUGGGCGCAAGCCUGAUGCAGCGACGCCGCGUGAGGGAUGACGGCCUUCGGGUUGUAAACCUCUUUCAGUAGGGAAGAAGCGAAAGUGACGGUACCUGCAGAAGAAGCACCGGCUAACUACGUG